UUGGCAUGCGGCUGCUACCAUGCAGUCGAGCGGUAACAGAUCCAGCUUGCUGGAUGCUGACGAGCGGCGGACGGGUGAGUAAUGCAUAGGAAUCUGCCCGAUAGUGGGGGAUAACCUGGGGAAACCCAGGCUAAUACCGCAUACGUCCUACGGGAGAAAGGGGGCUUCGGCUCCCGCUAUCGGAUGAGCCUAUGUCGGAUUAGCUAGUUGGUGAGGUAACGGCUCACCAGGGCCACGAUCCGUAGCUGGUCUGAGAGGAUGAUCAGCCACAUCGGGACUGAAACACGGCCCGAACUCCUACGGGAGGCAGCAGUGGGGAAUAUUGGACAAUGGGGGGAACCCUGAUCCAGCCAUGCCGCGUGUGUGAAGAAGGCCCUCGGGUUGUAAAGCACUUUCAGCGAGGAAGAACGCCUAGCGGUUAAUACCCGCUAGGAAAGACAUCACUCGCAGAAGAAGCACCGGCUAACUCCGUGCCAGCAGCCGCGGUAAUACGGAGGGUGCAAGCGUUAAUCGGAAUUACUGGGCGUAAAGCGCGCGUAGGUGGCUUGAUAAGCCGGUUGUGAAAGCCCCGGGCUCAACCUGGGAACGGCAUCCGGAACUGUCAAGCUAGAGUGCAGGAGAGGAAGGUAGAAUUCCCGGUGUAGCGGUGAAAUGCGUAGAGAUCGGGAGGAAUACCAGUGGCGAAGGCGGCCUUCUGGACUGACACUGACACUGAGGUGCGAAAGCGUGGGUAGCAAACAAGAUUACAUACCUGGGUAUCAAAG
rnacentral:rRNA from 1 species